UUCAUGGAGAGUUUGAUCCUGGCUCAGGACGAACGCUGGCGGCGUGCCUAAUACAUGCAAGUCGAGCGGACCGACGGGAGCUUGC
rnacentral:rRNA from 1 species